UUAAAAUUUGGAAACGAUUGAGGGACUAAAGGCUAAAAAGGAAAAUCUGAAGGUUGCCCCUCAUUUUCCUAUAAAAAGGCAUGACUAGUGCCUUAAGAAAGAAGUUAUCAGCCCAAAAAAUUACCCCCAAAAUAGUCUUAGUUUCCAGAAGUUGGAUUUGAAUUUCAGAUUCAAACACUAGAUCUGAAAUUCUAAAAUCUCUUUUUCAUCUUCAAAAACUCAAAUAAUACAAAACAAAAAAUUACAGAAAAUCAAAAAACCACGAUCACAUUGAAAGUCACUAGUUCAAUUUUGAGAUUCAACUGUUGAUCUUCAUUUUCAAGCUCGAUUUCUAGUCGGUGAAGGUUUUAGGAUAUCUUUGGGUCAAUUUCAAGUUGCUGUGAAUGUUUUCAGGUUGUUUGUCAAUGAUUCAGUGAUUGAAAUUAGU
rnacentral:lncRNA from 1 species